rnacentral:lncRNA from 1 species
CCAUUUAAACGAAGACUCCAUAACCCCUUCACAACCAUUGAAAUCUCUGGAAACUUCUGAAAAUUUGAGCAGCGAGAAAGAUUGACAUCUCUAAGGCACUUGAGUUCCCAGAUGCCACAUGGAAGACUUUUAAGACCUCGGCAACCUUCUAGGUUCAAAGAUUCGACCCCGGAAAGAUUUAUAAUUGAUGAGGGAAGUUCUUUAAUUGCUGUCUUAUCUAAACAAAGGUAAGUGAACCCUUCUGUAACUUUUGAAAUCUCAGGAAACUUCUCAAAACUUGAGCAGCCAGAAAGAGAAACAUUUCUAAGAGACUUGAGUUGGCAGAUGCUGCUUGGAAGACUUUGAAGCCUUAGACAACCAUUUAGCUUCAAAGUAUUCAGCCCGGAAAGAUUUUCAAUUGACGAGGGUAGUUCCUGAAUUGCAGUCCCAUCUAAAUAAAGGCACCAGAGCUCUUCCAUAACUUCUAAAAUCUCUGGAAACUUCUCAAGAUUUGAGCAGCCAGAAAGAGUAACAUAUCUAAGGGACUUGAGUUGACAGAUACUGCUCGGGAGACUUUUAAGCUUCACGCAACCUUUCAAGUCCAAAGUAACAAGCUCUGUAAGAUUUUUAAUUGACGACGGCAAUUCUUCAAUUGCAGUCCCAUUUAAACGAAGACUCCAUAACCCCUUCACAACCAUUUGAAAUCUCUGGAAACUUCUGAAAAUUUGAGCAGCGAGAAAGAUUGACAUCUCUAAGGCACUUGAGUUCCCAGAUGCCACAUGGAAGACUUUUAAGACCUCGGCAACCUUCUAGGUUCAAAGAUUCGACCCCGGAAAGAUUUAUAAUUGAUGAGGGAAGUUCUUUAAUUGCUGUCUUAUCUAAACAAAGGUAAGUGAACCCUUCUGUAACUUUUGAAAUCUCAGGAAACUUCUCAAAACUUGAGCAGCCAGAAAGAGAAACAUUUCUAAGAGACUUGAGUUGGCAGAUGCUGCUUGGAAGACUUUGAAGCCUUAGACAACCAUUUAGCUUCAAAGUAUUCAGCCCGGAAAGAUUUUCAAUUGACGAGGGUAGUUCCUGAAUUGCAGUCCCAUCUAAAUAAAGGCACCAGAGCUCUUCCAUAACUUCUAAAAUCUCUGGAAACUUCUCAAGAUUUGAGCAGCCAGAAAGAGUAACAUAUCUAAGGGACUUGAGUUUGACAGAUACUGCUCGGGAGACUUUUAAGCUUCACGCAACCUUUCAAGUCCAAAGUAACAAGCUCUGUAAGAUUUUUUAAUUGACGACGGCAAUUCUUCAAUUGCAGUCCCAUUUAAACGAAGACUCCAUAACCCCUUCACAACCAUUGAAAUCUCUGGAAACUUCUGAAAAUUUGAGCAGCGAGAAAGAUUGACAUCUCUAAGGCACUUGAGUUCCCAGAUGCCACAUGGAAGACUUUUAAGACCUCGGCAACCUUCUAGGUUCAAAGAUUCGACCCCCGGAAAGAUUUAUAAUUGAUGAGGGAAGUUCUUUAAUUGCUGUCUUAUCUAAACAAAGGUAAGUGAACCCUUCUGUAACUUUUG